UGUCAUUGCAGUUUCCUUUUUCAUAAAUGAUAACGUUGAGAAAUAUGUAUUUAAACUACGCAAAAGCAAUGCCGGGGAGCCCUGUUUACAAACAAAUUUUGGAGCUGCUCUGUCUACAUCAGAAGGGUUUCUGCCAUCACUUCUUCCCUGGGAUUAACAGCAGUGUGUGAGAGCUUGAGGAGUUUAACUGGAAAGAAGACAAGCAAUGUGAUAAAGGGACACAAUUAAAACAUGUUUACACUGGUU